AAAUUGUUAAAAAAAAAAAAAAAAGUUACAUAAAAAUGAUUGUUUAAUGAAGAGUUAUUGGAUUUGUUAUAUCUUUGUGACUCACGCGCAUUAAAUAUGUCAAAUGACGUUCGCAGAAAAAUACAUUACUUUAAGUCCCAGAAAAACAUAUAAAAAUUAUUCAUACGACGAUGUUGGAAUUAAACGAUUGCAGGAUUCUAUUCGAAAAUUAAACAAUAAAAUUCAAUUCAAUGUAAUUAAAAUCUAUGUGAGUACACCAUUAAAUCUAAAAUAUUUUCCUGUAAAUGAUUUUGAAUUUAAAUCUUUUGUGAAAAAUUUAGUUUUAAAGUAAAUGCAGCACUACUCACGAAAUACAUAUCAAUGUAGAUAAGACUCGAUAUUGAAAGUUUUUUUUUUCAAUAAAAUAACACUUAAAAUAAUAAUUAUUUUAAAUUAAGAAUCAAUUUAAACUUUAUAAAAUUAUAUCUCAUAAAUAUUUAAUAGCUAUUUUGCGUUUAGUAUAAAAUUAAAUAAACCCAGCACAAGGGGGUCGCGGCACAG